rnacentral:rRNA from 1 species
CAGUAGCCGCGGUAAUACGAAGGGUGCAAGCGUUACUCGGAAUUACUGGGCGUAAAGCGUGUGUAGGUGGUUGUUUAAGUCUGACGUGAAAGCCCUGGGCUCAACCUGGGAAUUGCGAUGGAUACUGGGCGACUAGAGUGCGGUAGAGGGUAGUGGAAUUUCCGGUGUAGCAGUGAAAUGCGUAGAGAUCGGAAGGAACAUCUGUGGCGAAGGCGACUAUCUGGGCCAACACUGACACUGAGACACGAAAGCGUGGGGAGCAAACAGGAUUAGAUACCCGCGUAGUCCCUGUCUCUUAUCA